AUCUCCAAAAUAGCACAUUUUUAAGUUUAUAUCACAAAAAUAGCACUCAAAAACUAAAAUGACCAAAAUAGCACAUUUCAAAGUUUAUCCUUUAAAAAUUUUAAUUUUUUUAUUUUUCAAAAUUUGAAAUCUUAUCCCCAAAACCUCAUUUCUCAACUCUAAACCCUAAACCCUAAACUCUAAACCCUAAACCUUAAACUCUAAACCCUAAACCCUAAACCAUAAAC
rnacentral:lncRNA from 1 species